GAUGAACGCUGGCGGCGUGCCUAAUACAUGCAAGUCGAGCGAAUGGAUUAAGAGCUUGCUCUUAUGAAGUUAGCGGCGGACGGGUGAGUAACACGUGGGUAACCUGCCCAUAAGACUGGGAUAACUCCGGGAAACCGGGGCUAAUACCGGAUAACAUUUUGAACCGCAUGGUUCGAAAUUGAAAGGCGGCUUCGGCUGUCACUUAUGGAUGGACCCGCGUCGCAUUAGCUAGUUGGUGAGGUAACGGCGCACCAGGGCAACGAUGCGUAGCCGACCUGAGAGGGUGAUGGGCCACACUGGGACUGAGACACGGCCCAGACUCCUACGGGAGGCAGCAGUAGGGAAUCUUCCGCAAUGGACGAAAGUCUGACGGAGCAACGCCGCGUGAGUGAUGAAGGCUUUCGGGUCGUAAAACUCUGUUGUUAGGGAAGAACAAGUGCUAGUUGAAUAAGCUGGCACCUUGACGGUACCUAACCAGAAAGCCACGGCUAACUACGUGCCAGCCGCCGCAGUAA
rnacentral:rRNA from 1 species